AUGGCCUGGCCUCCUGUCCUCCUCCUGUUCCUGCUAGCUCAGUACCCAGGCUCCUGGGCGCAGACUGGACUGACUCAGGAAGUAUCAGUGUCAGGGUCUGUGGGACAGACAGUCACCCUCACCUGUACUGGAACCAGCACCAAUGUUGGUAUCAAUGGUGCAGGCUGGUACCAGCAGAUUCCUGGUGCUGCCCCCAAAACUGUGAUGAUAGGAAAUUCUCGACCUUCUGGGAUCCCAGAUCGGUUCACUGGUUCUCAAUCUGGAACCAAGGCCUCUCUGACCAUCUCAGGUGUGCAGACCGAGGAUGAGGCUGAUUAUUACUGUGCUUCAUAUGACUACAUUAUCGACGGAGCCACAGUGCUUCAGACACGAGGGGAAAUGAGACAAAAACCCAGUCCUGUUUUAGGUGCCCCUCCCCCCCAUGAUAAACUGUCAAAACCGGAAACAGAGCUCCUCAUCUUCACCCUGAGCAGUGGCUUCUGUGCUGGUGGCACCUGCAUGCAAUGGUACCAACAGAAAUCGGAGACCCUUCUCUGGUGUCUCCUGCACUACCACAGGGACUCCAAGAAGUACCAGGGUUCAGCUGAACUUGUGAUUGUGCUGGCACAUUGGAUGGUCUCUGUGGUUGAUCUUCAUCUGACUCAGCAGGUGGCGCUGUGUGCUUGA